rnacentral:lncRNA from 1 species
CGUGACAUAAAGGACAGUCUGCGGGUCCCCCUCCCCCGAGCUGCUGUUGUGCUCCAUGUCUGAAGAUGUUUCCUUUUUUCGUUCUUUGCUCUAGUUACGAGGAUCCUGACAAGUGCCUGCUUCUCUAUGGUGAUGAUCAGGGAUGUGUGAGCAUUCUGCUUUUGGCUUCUGUCGGUGAACUAUUAAGGCAUGAAACAGCAAUACAAUGCCAUUAUUAUCUUUGGAGAGACAAGAUGGAAUCCAUUAAAUAAGAAGAUGCCAGUACAGAGGAAAAUCCAGAGGGGAAAAAAGAAUUCUUGGAAAUUAAAAUUGUGAUUUUAAAUAUUUAACUUAAUAAAACGGUUGGAAGAUAAUAUUUUCCCAGAAGGCAGAACAACAACAACAACAACAGAAAAAAAGUGAAAUAAAGAGAAAAGAUUAACAAAAACUAUAUGACCAGUCUGGGAAGUACAAUAUUCCAAUACUAUGCAAACAAAAAGAGAAAAGAGAGAGAAGAAAAGAAUCCAAUAGUUUAAGAACAUUUUCCAAAACAGUGAGAGCAAAGAGAAGAUUUUAGAAGUGUCCAGAGGAGACAAGUCAGCUCACCAUGCAGAGGAUCGGGACUCGGUAAUGGAUCUGAAUUUCACCACAGAAGAACUGGGAGCUAGAAAGCAAAGCGGCAAUUCCUUCAAAAAUGGAAGGAAAAUUGUCUCCAGUGUGGCAUUCUAUAUCCUGGUAAACUAUUACUGAAAUUUGAGGGUGGAAUAAAGUCAUCUGCAAAGAUGUAAAGGUUCCAAAAGUACUUCCCAUAUAGGUAUCCUUCUCAGGAAACCAAUGAAGGAUUUUCUCUGUUAACUGAAGGGGAAAACUGCAACGAAGAUGACCUGGGACAGGAAAACAAGAGACGCAAAGAAGCAGAAUAGCAAAUAGCAUUCUCAGGAUGAUGGGGAAGGAAGGACCUGAAGGGCAGCAGAGUACAUCACUCCAAAUAUGCCUUUUUGCCAUAAGGAUUAUUUCAGGCUGAUUAUUUUUAUACAGCAGGCACAGGAGGAGCUCUGAAAGCUAAGUAGAAGUUACCUUUUUGUAAGAGCAUUUUACAUUUAUAAGGGGAAUCUCCCUAUGUAGGGGUGUCUUCCUGGAAUGGUGCAGUCCAUGAGGUUGCAAGAAUCAGACAUGACUUGGUGACCAGACAACAACAACCUCUCUGUAUCAAAGAGGCGGAUGACCAAAUCUCUAGAAAGUUGAUGAGUGAUGAGUGGAGAAGAUAUGACUUAAAUCUGUCCAAUGACCUUACCAUUGUUUACUGUGUUUUGCCUGAUAAUCUCCCAUAACUGGCUCCCUCACACACGUC